CCUACGGGGGGCAGCAGUGGGGAAUAUUGCACAAUGGGGGAAACCCUGAUGCAGCGACGCCGCGUGAGUGAUGAAGUAUUUCGGUAUGUAAAGCUCUAUCAGUAGGGAAGAAAAUGACGGUACCUGAGUAAGAAGCCACGGCUAACGACGUGCCAGCAGCCGCGGUAAUACGGAGGGGGCACGCGUUAUCCGGAUUUACUGGGGGUAAAGGGGGCGUUGACGGCAGCACAAGUCUGGUGUGAAAUGUCGGGGCUUAACCCCGGAACUGCUUUGGAAACUGGGCAGCUAGAGUGCAGGAGAGGUAAGUGGAAUUCCUGGUGUAGCGGUGAAAUGCGUAGAUAUUAGGAGGAACACCAGUGGCGAAGGCGGCUUACUGGACUGUAACUGACGUUGAGGCACGAAAGCGUGGGGAGCAAACAGGAUUAGAUACCCCUGUAGUC
rnacentral:rRNA from 1 species